UACGUAGGGUGCGAGCGUUGUCCGGAAUUAUUGGGCGUAAAGAGCUCGUAGGCGGUUUGUCGCGUCGACUGUGAAAACCUACAGCUUAACUGUGGGCUUGCAGUCGAUACGGGCAGACUUGAGUUCGGUAGGGGAGACUGGAAUUCCUGGUGUAGCGGUGAAAUGCGCAGAUAUCAGGAGGAACACCGGUGGCGAAGGCGGGUCUCUGGGCCGAUACUGACGCUGAGGCACGAAAGCGUGGGGAGCGAACAGG
rnacentral:rRNA from 1 species